UGCGUAGGCGGCAUGAUAAGUCAGGGGUGAAAUCUCAUAGCUUAACUAUGAAACUGCCAUUGAUACUGCAGGUCUUGAGUAAGGUAGAAGUAGCUGGAAUAAGUAGUGUAGCGGUGAAAUGCAUAGAUAUUACUUAGAACACCAAUUGCGAAGGCAGGUUACUAUGUCUUAACUGACGCUGAUGGACGAAAGCGUGGGGAGCGAACAGGAUUAGAUACCCUGGUAGUCC
rnacentral:rRNA from 1 species